rnacentral:rRNA from 1 species
AGAGUUUGAUCCUGGCUCAGAACGAACGCUGGCGGCGCGCCUAAUACAUGCAAGUCGAGCGAGAAGGUGUAGCAAUACACUUGUAAAGCGGCGAACGGGUGAGGAAUACAUGGGUAAUCUACCAUCGAGUGGGGAAUAACCAGCCGAAAGGUUGGCUAAUACCGCGUACGCCUCCGGAUCUUCGGGUUCGGAGGGAAAGCCACACUGUGAGUGCGGCGCUCUUUGAUGAGCUCAUGUCCUAUCAGCUUGUUGGUAGGGUAACGGCCUACCAAGGCUUUGACGGGUAGCUGGUCUGAGAGGACGAUCAGCCACACUGGCACUGCGACACGAGCCAGACUCCUACGGGAGGCAGCAGUAAGGAAUAUUGCGCAAUGGGCGAAAGCCUGACGCAGCGACGCCGCGUGGGGGAUGAAGGUCUUCGGAUUGUAAACCCCUUUCGGGAGGGAAGAUGGAGCGAGCAAUCGUUCGGACGGUACCUCCAGAAGCAGCCACGGCCAACUUCGUGCCAGCAGCCGCGGUAAUACGAAGGUGGCAAGCGUUGUUCGGAUUCACUGGGCGUACAGGGUGUGUAGGCGGUUUGGUAAGCCUUCUGUUAAAGCUUCGGGC